GCCUGGAUAGCUCAGUUGGUAGAGCAGCGCAUUCGUAAUGCGGAGGUCGGGAGUUCGAGUCUCCCUUCAGGCA
rnacentral:tRNA from 1 species